rnacentral:lncRNA from 1 species
CUUUUUCAUUGGUUGCUAGUUUUAUGCAUUCCAAUGACGUGUGUAAUUGUUGUUGUAGCUCUACGUCAUAGAGAAUGGACUCUAGUGAAUUUUCAAAUAGGCAUUCAAGGUUGUGCAAAGCUUCUUUUACAGCAACAUCAUCACUUGUGGAACAGGUUACUUUUGGCGGAGACUCUGGACUUCCCAGCAGGAUGCUCUCAAGUUCAGCAAAAGGGUCCUCAUCUGAUUCAUCUUCAAAGUUUCUUAGAUCCAUUGGUGAAUUUUCUUUACUUAUUGGAUCAGUGGUGUCGGGAACAAUAACCUGUCCUUGUAUAUUUGGUUUUCCUUCUGAUUGCUUGGUCUCAUCAAAAUUGUCUUUCCCAUCAUAGUUGUUUUCACUUGACUUGUUAUCAGAAGUGUUGCCUUCAAACGCUGACAUUACCGGCAGAUACAAUCCAGCUUCAGAUUCAGUUGGUCUUCCUUCAUUUCCUUUGCUUUCGAACUGCACAAUGAAAAAGCAUUAGUCAAGGGCUCAAGGCAAGAGGAGUGGGUGUACUAUAGGAAUUAAAUUAUAACUGUAUUAUGUUUUAUUAGAUACAAUGUUAGUCAUACAGUCAUACUGGUUAGUUGGACUAAUUAGUUAGACUAGUUAGUUGUUCUCAUUUUCUAUAUACUUAUCUUUACUUUACUCUCAUCUAUGAUUUCUAUCAAGAAUAGUAACAUGUACUUUUAUUUGUUAGGAUUCAUCAUGAUAGCUUG